rnacentral:lncRNA from 1 species
AUGUAUUUUUUUUCAUUUUUUCCUAAAAAACAUUGCACAAGAGCAGCUGCUUCCCUCCAGUCCCACAGAGCCCCACAUCACAGCACAGCUGGCAGACACCACAGUCCAGGCAGCAGCUUCUGGCUGUCCUUUGAGAUCCUGUCUGUCUGCUGGGAACUUCUCCUGAGACUGUCAGGGGAGUCCUGGGAAGCCUUUGAGGAGCGCCAGGGUGCCUGCUGCUGCUGCUGCUGCUGCUGCUGCUGCUGCUGGGAAAGAGGCUCUGCCCACAGGAACUCUCACAGCAGGAGAAGCCUGCACAGCCUCAGGAGAUUAUUGGACAUCCUGCUCUAUGUUGGAGGUGAGGAAGUAACACAGCUGUGACACAGCUGCCACAGCAGAAAGAAAGUCUUUAAAACAAGUUCUCAUCCCACAAUCAUCUCUUCUGCUAUCAAACUGCUUUACUCUUCAAUGACUCUUGAGGUUCCUUAUCAUCAAGAAGGAAGAAAAUUCAUGAGAUUUGUUUCUCAACUUUCAUCUUUCUGCAACCUGUUACUGUCUUGUCUCUACUGAUUCUCUGGGCAGUGGUCUAUCAGUGGUCCUGCCACCAAAGGCCCACUUAGUGUUUAGCUGUGAUAUGGCUUCUGCUAAGCUGUGAUGUUUUUGGGGUUUAAUGAUGCAGAAUCAAGCUCCUGAUCUUGUUUGCCUUUUGGAAUUUAGUUCCCUGUACAAAGUCACACUGAAAGUGCUAGCAAAGUGCAGCCUACUGUAGUAUAUCUGGAGCAAUGAGUCUCAGGUGGGAAAAAAAGAAUAAGGAUUUGUACAUAUUUUUUGUGCACUAAGUGUAUGAAAGUCUUAAUUUUGGAAAAUAAAAUGUUGCACAUAGGCUCUAUUACCA